rnacentral:lncRNA from 1 species
CCACCUCAAUAAAUGAACCUAAGUUGUCCUUCCCCCUGCUUUUCCCCCACCUGCUUGAUAGCCUACCCGACCUUCCCAAACAUGUCAGCAUUAUGGUCGCUCGCAUGAUGAAUUAUCCUAUUGGCGUAUUAAUCAAACAUGUAGCCCAGGGUUGUGUGUACCACCUAGAUGAACCCAUUUUGAUUGAUACAAGUAUUACUCACUCUUCUAUCUCUUAUGCAUUUGCUUGUAAGUUAGAUGUUAGGUCUGAACCUUUAAAAGAAAUAUUAAUGUAGAGACUCUCUCUAGGGAAUUAUUAAAAGCUCACCGCGUGUAUAAAAAUUGUAAGAUAAAAGCUUCAGAAAUAGAAAU